rnacentral:rRNA from 1 species
UACGAAGGGGGCUAGCGUUGCUCGGAAUCACUGGGCGUAAAGGGUGCGUAGGCGGGUCUUUAAGUCAGGGGUGAAAUCCUGGAGCUCAACUCCAGAACUGCCUUUGAUACUGAGGAUCUUGAGUUCGGGAGAGGUGAGUGGAACUGCGAGUGUAGAGGUGAAAUUCGUAGAUAUUCGCAAGAACACCAGUGGCGAAGGCGGCUCUCUGGGACGGUACUGACGCUGAGACGCGAAAGCGUGGGGAGCGAACAGGA